rnacentral:rRNA from 1 species
UACGGAGGGUGCGAGCGUUGUCCGGAAUCACUGGGCGUAAAGGGCGCGUAGGCGGCAGGCCAAGCGUGCGGUGAAAGUCCGGGGCUCAACCCCGGAUCUGCCGUGCGGACUGGUUUGCUAGAGCACUGUAGAGGCGAGUGGAAUUCCGGGUGUAGCGGUGGAAUGCGUAGAGAUCCGGAAGAACACCGGUGGUGAAGGCGGCUCGCUGGGCAGUGGCUGACGCUGAGGCGCGAAAGCGUGGGGAGCAAACAGG